rnacentral:rRNA from 1 species
CCUACGGGGCGCAGCAGUGGGGAAUAUUGCACAAUGGGGGAAACUCUGAUGCAGCGACGCCGCGUGAGUGAAGAAGUAAUUCGUUAUGUAAAGCUCUAUCAGCAGGGAAGAAAAUGACGGUACCUGAGUAAGAAGCCCCGGCUAACUACGUGCCAGCAGCCGCGGUACUACGUAGGGGGCAAGCGUUAUCCGGAUUUACUGGGUGUAAAGGGAGCGUAGACGGCAGUGCAAGUCUGGAGUGAAAGGCGGGGGCUCAACCCCCGGACUGCUCUGGAAACUGUACGGCUGGAGUGCAGGAGAGGUGAGUGGAAUUCCUAGUGUAGCGGUGAAAUGCGUAGAUAUUAGGAGGAACACCAGUGGCGAAGGCGGCUUACUGGACUGUAACUGACGUUGAGGCUCGAAAGCGUGGGGAGCAAACAGGAUUAGAUACCCCAGUAGUC